CAGCAGCCGCGGGAAUACGGAGGGUGCAAGCGUUAAUCGGAAUUACUGGGCGUAAAGCGCACGCAGGCGGUUUGUUAAGUCAGAUGUGAAAUCCCCGGGCUCAACCUGGGAACUGCAUUUGAAACUGGCAAGCUAGAGUCUCGUAGAGGGGGGUAGAAUUCCAGGUGUAGCGGUGAAAUGCGUAGAGAUCUGGAGGAAUACCGGUGGCGAAGGCGGCCCCCUGGACGAAGACUGACGCUCAGGUGCGAAAGCGUGGUGAGCAAACAGGAUUAGAUACCCCUGUAGUCCCUGUCUCUUAUAC
rnacentral:rRNA from 1 species